UACGGAGGGUGCAAGCGUUAUCCGGAUUCACUGGGUUUAAAGGGUGCGUAGGCGGCCCUGUAAGUCAGAGCUGAAAUAUCCCAGCUUAACUGGGAGGGUGGCAUUGAUACUGUGGGGCUAGAGUACAGAUGAGGUAGGCGGAAUUGACGGUGUAGCGGUGAAAUGCUUAGAUAUCGUCAAGAACACCUAUAGCGAAGGCAGCUUACUAGGCUGUAACUGACGCUGAGGCACGAAAGUGUGGGGAUCAAACAGG
rnacentral:rRNA from 1 species